GGAACAUCGGAUUACUCAUCUGGUGGCAGGUGGGUGUCGGAGCUGGCUGUGGACCGCACCGUCUGUAGCCAGUCCGCAGCAGCUUUCCUCUCUGGCAAACUCACAGCAAGCAUGCAGGGUGAUAAAACGGCAGUGACAAAUCCAGUGCAAUCAGGUGGGAAAUCCCCCCUGAGUAAUAACACCUCCUCAUCGCUCAUCCCGACCUCUUCCCCUGAGCCCCGCGUCUGCAGCUGAGAACUCAGCGCUGUUUUACCUUCAGCCCUGAGCUCCGCACAGGAAAAAGAAGAGAAAAGUGAGACACGGGAGUCUGGAGGAUCUCAAUCAAUGGUCAGAAAGGAGUACCCAGAAUGUCUACUGAUUGCCUCACUCCACGCAGAAUAUGCAACAUUCAUCCUUUCUCUAUCGCACCCUCCCUGCAUCUCCCAUCAUUCUUGACUCAGAGAAGAAGGCGUCAAGCAUCCUUUCAAGUACCUUCCCCAGGGUUGUCAUCAACUUAACUCCUCUUCAGUUUCCACUGCUACUAGUAAAGUAAUCAUGAUUUACGAAGAAUCCAUGGAAAAAUUUUGCAUCUAUUAAUUAUCUGACUUAAUCUUUACCAGAUCGUUAUUAAGCAAGAAUUACUAUUACCCUGAUUUUCACAGAUGAGGAAAUUGAGGAUAAGGAAAUUUAGGAACCUGCCUAGAGUUACACAACAAGGAAGUUGCAGAGGGGAGGGUUUUUGCCAAGGUUUCUAUGAUUCCAAUGUUAUCACUUUUCUAAUGCAUCUGCUGACCGAGACUGAAGAAUCAACUACCUCCUCCAGAAGGUCAGUUACCCAAGAAAUCUCUGGGACUGAGGAGAACGGGGGAACAGGAGACAGAUCGGAGAGGCUGGGACAUGGAGAUUUGCUUCAUAUGCAAAGAACUCAUCUCCUAGAAUUUUGCAGCAUCUUCCAGAGUCUAAGCUUGUGUUUUGACGUGCCCUUUCCAAGACAAUGGGAUACGUGAAGCUCAGUGAAUCAGGAGCGUUUACGGAGGAGAAAGAAAAUAAGAUCUUCUCCCCAGCUAAAAAUCCAGGCAUUGUCCUUGGCUGGAAAACCUCUCUUGGAUUGUAUGGACAGACUGAAAAUACAUCUUAGCAUCCAAACAUAGACAGCCAGGGCAUGGACUCAGGCUUGAUGCCCAAAGAGAUCCUCAUCAUCAUACCUUAGAAGUACCACAGCCUUUGUUCCUCCUGGCUAAACCCCUUCAGCCAACAUCCCUGCCUGCAGGGUAAGCAAUUUACUUACAGUUAAACUGCUAAUAAGUAGGGAAUCAUGGAUCAAUCAGAAACACUAAAUAUUUCAAAAUAUUUAGGGUCAAUAUUUCAAAAAACAUUGCAACAUUGGUACAUUUACCUGCUACAAGUUUGCAUGGGCAGGAACCAUAUCAAGUCCAUUAAAAUUCCUGAUUUCCUUAUGUCUAGCAAAAUCUUUGAUCACUAGUUAUGUAUAUUUCAGUUAAUAAAAAUGAAGAGCAUGAGUACUCUUCCAUAAGAAAUGCAGCGUGUUGGGAUAUACAGAAUUUUGCAAAACAGAGUAGAAUGGGGAUGGUUAUCAUAACACAGUGGGCCCAUCAGUGUAGUGGAGUUCAACAUUUUUGAUUCCUUCCAAAUUUCCAGAUUUCAUCUUUGAUGUUGGGAAUGUAAAGACUGAUAUAGCACAAUCAUGGUCCUCCAGAAAUGUAUCAGAUUGUUGGGGAAACAAAUAGAUGCAGAAAUAGUUAUCUGCGUGAUACAGCAAAUACAAACAUGUGCAAGAUGCUCCAAGGAUGUAGAAAGAGAAGCCCUGGUUGGGCUUGUGUGGAGGAGAUGUGGGAAAGGGGGCUUUCUCAAGGAAGCGAUGUCUGAACUCAGACGUGAAGGAACAGCAGAGCUUACCCUCCCCACAGGAGGUUGUACUGUACAGCAUGAGCAAAGAAAGGAGGAAGGUGUAAAGACAUUACCUUUGGUGCAAAGAUUGGCAUAGCUGUCCCACAACCUAUUUGAAUUAACAUUUGUCAAUGAGACACCAACAUCAAAUGCUAUCACUGACAUGUGGAAUCUAAAAAAAGGACACAAUGAACUUCUUUGCAGAACAGAUACUGACUCACAGACUUUGAAAAACUUACGGUUUCCAAAUGAGACAGGUUAGCGGGUGGGGGGAUGCACUGAGGGUUUGGGAUGGAAAUGCUGUAAAAUUUGGUUGUGAUGAUUGUUGUACACCUAUAAAUGUAAUAAAAUUCAUUAAGUAAUAAAAAAGGAAAAAAAACUUUACAAUGAUAUAUAAAAAAUAAUAAUGUUUAUCAUGGUAGGUCUCCAUGCAUUAAGAAUUUACUGAGAGGCUAUUCUAUGCCAAGCCUAACAGUGGGCACCCAGGGUGGAUAGCUCAAAUGUCAUGUCUCCAAAAAUCCACAUUUCAGGAGAGAAAACGAUGCAACACUGUGCAAUGAGCUUGAAAGACCUCACCCAUAAUACAUGCUGGACCAGGAGCUUUAUUUGGUAGAAAUGCUUUGAGAAUAUUUUUUUUUGUUUUUAUCUUGCCACUGGAUGUGUC
rnacentral:lncRNA from 1 species